GCCAGAAUAUAAUUGUUAAUACUCUGCUUUCCUUAAUGUUAUGAUAAUAUGUGUUAUAUUAUAUGCAGGGUAAGAUAUCAAGAGAAGAGGUUGCUCAAAUUUGUGUUGCUGCAUUAGAAAGCCCAUACGCUACUGGCAAGACAUUUGAGGUUAAAAGUGUUAUGCCAUUUAGCGAGCCAUUUACAGUAGACCCUGAAAAUCCACCCCCUGAGAAGGACUGCGAUGUUUACUUUAAAACUUUGAAGGAUGGAAUUACAGGAAAAGAAGUCUUAGAACAAAAUCCUGUACCAGUAUAAUGCUUAUGCAAUAUGCAUAGAGCUAUGUUCAACAUUAACCUGUGUAUAUAUACCCCUACAGGAGUAAAAGGAAGAGGUUUCUAGAGGAACAUAUAACCGAAGAAGUUUAAUUAUGUUCCAAGUAGUUUAAUUUAAAUAGCUUCAAUGAUUAUGACUUAUGUUGUGGUAUACAUGUCUAGUGGGCGGCAAAGAGUCGGAACUCAUAUACCCAAGAGCAACUUGAUGAGGUGCGCAUUGAAGUGGCUGACUACUUGCAGAGUUUGCUAUAGCUAGAUCUUGACAAGCAAUAUGAUUUUGAGUAAGGCUAGAUUUUGCUGACCAUUUUGUAGUAGAUAUAUGUAGUGAUAUCAGGAUGAAUUGUGAACAAAUUAUGCUGCAUGUAGUUAUUGCAGUAGCGGUAUAUUCUACACUA